GGGUUGUGAGGUUAAGCGACUAAGCGUACACGGUGGAUGCCCUGGCAGUCAGAGGCGAUGAAGGACGUGCUAAUCUGCGAUAAGCGUCGGUAAGGUGAUAUGAACCGUUAUAACCGGCGAUUUCCGAAUGGGGAAACCCAGUGUGAUUCGUCACACUAUCAUUAACUGAAUCCAUAGGUUAAUGAGGCGAACCGGGGGAACUGAAACAUCUAAGUACCCCGAGGAAAAGAAAUCAACCGAGAUUCCCCCAGUAGCGGCGAGCGAACGGGGAGGAGCCCAGAGCCUGAAUCAGUGUGUGUGUUAGUGGAAGCGUCUGGAAAGGCGCGCGAUACAGGGUGACAGCCCCGUACACAAAAAUGCACAUAUUGUGAGCUCGAUGAGUAGGGCGGGACACGUGGUAUCCUGUCUGAAUAUGGGGGGACCAUCCUCCAAGGCUAAAUACUCCUGACUGACCGAUAGUGAACCAGUACCGUGAGGGAAAGGCGAAAAGAACCCCGGCGAGGGGAGUGAAAAAGAACCUGAAACCGUGUACGUACAAGCAGUGGGAGCACGCUUAGGCGUGUGACUGCGUACCUUUUGUAUAAUGGGUCAGCGACUUAUAUUCUGUAGCAAGGUUAACCGAAUAGGGGAGCCGAAGGGAAACCGAGUCUUAACUGGGCGUUAAGUUGCAGGGUAUAGACCCGAAACCCGGUGAUCUAGCCAUGGGCAGGUUGAAGGUUGGGUAACACUAACUGGAGGACCGAACCGACUAAUGUUGAAAAAUUAGCGGAUGACUUGUGGCUGGGGGUGAAAGGCCAAUCAAACCGGGAGAUAGCUGGUUCUCCCCGAAAGCUAUUUAGGUAGCGCCUCGUGAAUUCAUCUCCGGGGGUAGAGCACUGUUUCGGCAAGGGGGUCAUCCCGACUUACCAACCCGAUGCAAACUGCGAAUACCGGAGAAUGUUAUCACGGGAGACACACGGCGGGUGCUAACGUCCGUCGUGAAGAGGGAAACAACCCAGACCGCCAGCUAAGGUCCCAAAGUCAUGGUUAAGUGGGAAACGAUGUGGGAAGGCCCAGACAGCCAGGAUGUUGGCUUAGAAGCAGCCAUCAUUUAAAGAAAGCGUAAUAGCUCACUGGUCGAGUCGGCCUGCGCGGAAGAUGUAACGGGGCUAAACCAUGCACCGAAGCUGCGGCAGCGACGCUGAUGCGUUGUUGGGUAGGGGAGCGUUCUGUAAGCCUGCGAAGGUGUGCUGUGAGGCAUGCUGGAGGUAUCAGAAGUGCGAAUGCUGACAUAAGUAACGAUAAAGCGGGUGAAAAGCCCGCUCGCCGGAAGACCAAGGGUUCCUGUCCAACGUUAAUCGGGGCAGGGUGAGUCGACCCCUAAGGCGAGGCCGAAAGGCGUAGUCGAUGGGAAACAGGUUAAUAUUCCUGUACUUGGUGUUACUGCGAAGGGGGGACGGAGAAGGCUAUGUUGGCCGGGCGACGGUUGUCCCGGUUUAAGCGUGUAGGCUGGUUUUCCAGGCAAAUCCGGAAAAUCAAGGCUGAGGCGUGAUGACGAGGCACUACGGUGCUGAAGCAACAAAUGCCCUGCUUCCAGGAAAAGCCUCUAAGCAUCAGGUAACAUCAAAUCGUACCCCAAACCGACACAGGUGGUCAGGUAGAGAAUACCAAGGCGCUUGAGAGAACUCGGGUGAAGGAACUAGGCAAAAUGGUGCCGUAACUUCGGGAGAAGGCACGCUGAUAUGUAGGUGAAGUCCCUCGCGGAUGGAGCUGAAAUCAGUCGAAGAUACCAGCUGGCUGCAACUGUUUAUUAAAAACACAGCACUGUGCAAACACGAAAGUGGACGUAUACGGUGUGACGCCUGCCCGGUGCCGGAAGGUUAAUUGAUGGGGUUAGCCGCAAGGCGAAGCUCUUGAUCGAAGCCCCGGUAAACGGCGGCCGUAACUAUAACGGUCCUAAGGUAGCGAAAUUCCUUGUCGGGUAAGUUCCGACCUGCACGAAUGGCGUAAUGAUGGCCAGGCUGUCUCCACCCGAGACUCAGUGAAAUUGAACUCGCUGUGAAGAUGCAGUGUACCCGCGGCAAGACGGAAAGACCCCGUGAACCUUUACUAUAGCUUGACACUGAACAUUGAGCCUUGAUGUGUAGGAUAGGUGGGAGGCUUUGAAGUGUGGACGCCAGUCUGCAUGGAGCCGACCUUGAAAUACCACCCUUUAAUGUUUGAUGUUCUAACGUUGACCCGUAAUCCGGGUUGCGGACAGUGUCUGGUGGGUAGUUUGACUGGGGCGGUCUCCUCCUAAAGAGUAACGGAGGAGCACGAAGGUUGGCUAAUCCUGGUCGGACAUCAGGAGGUUAGUGCAAUGGCAUAAGCCAGCUUGACUGCGAGCGUGACGGCGCGAGCAGGUGCGAAAGCAGGUCAUAGUGAUCCGGUGGUUCUGAAUGGAAGGGCCAUCGCUCAACGGAUAAAAGGUACUCCGGGGAUAACAGGCUGAUACCGCCCAAGAGUUCAUAUCGACGGCGGUGUUUGGCACCUCGAUGUCGGCUCAUCACAUCCUGGGGCUGAAGUAGGUCCCAAGGGUAUGGCUGUUCGCCAUUUAAAGUGGUACGCGAGCUGGGUUUAGAACGUCGUGAGACAGUUCGGUCCCUAUCUGCCGUGGGCGCUGGAGAACUGAGGGGGGCUGCUCCUAGUACGAGAGGACCGGAGUGGACGCAUCACUGGUGUUCGGGUUGUCAUGCCAAUGGCACUGCCCGGUAGCUAAAUGCGGAAGAGAUAAGUGCUGAAAGCAUCUAAGCACGAAACUUGCCCCGAGAUGAGUUCUCCCUGACUCCUUGAGAGUCCUGAAGGAACGUUGAAGACGACGACGUUGAUAGGCCGGGUGUGUAAGCGCAGCGAUGCGUUGAGCUAACCGGUACUAAUGAACCGUGAGGCUUAACCUUACAACGCCGAAG
rnacentral:rRNA from 1 species